UGUAUACGAAGUAGAGGGUCUGCACAUCCAGACCUCCGUUAAGGUUUAUAUCAGAUAAUUUGAGAUUUGAUCUCUGAUUUUACUGCUAAUCAGAUAAAGAUUUGAUCCUUAAUCAUGUAGAUGAAUAGAAAAAACUUUAGAUGCAACCUGGGCCUUCCGAGUAGAAAUAAUUUCUUUUCCUUCAUGCAUGCCAUCUAUCUUCACGCACAAAUAGUUUUUGCAUAAAAUUUUUUCACACCAAAAUGUUCUUCUCCCUCUCUAUCUCAUAUCCCUAUCU
rnacentral:lncRNA from 1 species